rnacentral:rRNA from 1 species
GUCCACGCCCUAAACGAUGUCAACUGGUUGUUGGACGGCUUGCUGUUCAGUAACGAAGCUAACGCGUGAAGUUGACCGCCUUGGGAGUACGGCCGCAAGGUUGAAACUCAAAGGAAUUGACGGGACCCGCACAAGCGGUGGAUGAUGUGGUUUAAUUCGAUGCAACGCGAAAACCUUACCUACCCUUGACAUGCCAGGAACUUGCCAGAGAUGGCUUGGUGCUCGAAAGAGAGCCUGGACACAGGUGCUGCAUGGCCGUCGU